rnacentral:rRNA from 1 species
UAAUCAUAUGCUUGUCUCAAAGAUUAAGCCAUGCAUGUCUAAGUACAAGCCGCUUUAGCGGCGAGACUGCGGACGGCUCAUUAAAUCGGUUAUGACUCCCUGGGGCCCGACUCUCCACGUGGAUAACGUGCGGUAACUCCGGUGCUAAUACAUGCAACAAGGCCCCGACCGCGGCUUCGGCCGCGGGAAGGGCGCACUUAUUAGGCGAAAACCAAUCGGCUUCGGCCGUUGGUGGACGACACCCGAGUAAUUGCCGCCGAUCGCACGGCCUCGAGCCGGCGACGCCUCCACUGAGUUUCUGAUCUAUCAUGCUGUCGACGGUUGGUGCUAUGCCAACCGUGGCGUUAACGGAUAACAGAGAAUCUGGGUUCGAUUCUGGAGAGGCCGCAUGAGAAACGGCGACCAWUUCCAAGGAAGGCAGCAGGCACGCAAAUUACCCACUUCGGACACCGAGAGGUAGUGACGAACAAUACCGAUGCGGUGCACUUACGUGUCGCCGUAAUCGGAAUGAGUACACUUUCAAAUCCUUUAACGAGGAUCCACUGGGAGGGCAAGCCUGGUGCCAGCAGCCGCGGGUAAUUCCAGCUCCAGCAGCGUAUAUUUAUAUUGCUGGCGUUUAAAAAAGCUCGUAAUUGAAGCGUCAGACGCCGGGAGGACGGACGGCCGCACUGGCGGCGUCSCYGCMSGUUCACCYUKGARAAAAUUGAACCC